UCCAUCCUUCUGACACGUCAACA
rnacentral:siRNA from 1 species